rfam:Pteropus alecto contig60943, whole genome shotgun sequence.
GUCUACAGCCAUACCACCCUGAACGAGCCCGAUCCCAUCCGAUCUCAGAAGCUAAGCAGGGUCGGGCCCGGUUAGUACUUGGAUGGGUGACCACCUAAGAAGACCAGGUGCCGUAGGCG